rfam:Helobdella robusta unplaced genomic scaffold HELROscaffold_10, whole genome shotgun sequence.
AAGAUCAUACUUUUAGGGAUCAUUUCUAUAGUAUGCAUCGCCUGGACGUCAGUCAAAACUGACAUAACACCUUAAACCAGGAUGACGAGUGGUAGCACCUACUCCUGAGCGUGAGACAGACAGUCGUCCCUGUGGCCUCCUCUCCGGGGGAGGCAGGGGGUGACCUCACCGAUGAUCGUUCCUGUCCGGCUUAGUGUCGGACUUGAGGGAGUUGGUGCCUGCUGACUGGU